UGGGGAAUAUUGGACAAUGGGCGCAAGCCUGAUCCAGCCAUGCCGCGUGAGUGAUGAAGGCCUUAGGGUUGUAAAGCUCUUUUACCUGGGAAGAUAAUGACGGUACCAGGAGAAUAAGCCCCGGCUAACUUCGUGCCAGCAGCCGCGGUAAUACGAAGGGGGCUAGCGUUGUUCGGAUUUACUGGGCGUAAAGCGCACGUAGGCGGAUCUUUAAGUCAGAGGUGAAAUCCCAAGGCUCAACCUUGGAACUGCCUUUGAUACUGGGGAUCUUGAGUCCGGGAGAGGUGAGUGGAACUGCGAGUGUAGAGGUGAAAUUCGUAGAUAUUCGCAAGAACACCAGUGGCGAAGGCGGCUCACUGGCCCGGUACUGACGCUGAGGUGCGAAAGCGUGGGGAGCAAACA
rnacentral:rRNA from 2 species